rnacentral:rRNA from 1 species
GACGAACGCUGGCGGCGUGCCUAAUACAUGCAAGUCGAACGCUUCUUUCCUCCCGAGUGCUUGCACUCAAUUGGAAAGAGGAGUGGCGGACGGGGGAGUAACACGUGGGUAACCUACCCAUCAGAGGGGGAUAACACUUGGAAACAGGUGCUAAUACCGCAUAACAGUUUAUGCCGCAUGGCAUAAGAGUGAAAGGCGCUUUCGGGUGUCGCUGAUGGAUGGACCCGCGGUGCAUUAGCUAGUUGGUGAGGUAACGGCUCACCAAGGCCACGAUGCAUAGCCGACCUGAGAGGGUGAUCGGCCACACUGGGACUGAGACACGGCCCAGACUCCUACGGGAGGCAGCAGUAGGGAAUCUUCGGCAAUGGACGAAAGUCUGACCGAGCAACGCCGCGUGAGUGAAGAAGGUUUUCGGAUCGUAAAACUCUGUUGUUAGAGAAGAACAAGGACGUUAGUAACUGAACGUCCCCUGACGGUAUCUAACCAGAAAGCCACGGCUAACUACGUG